CGAGACUCAGUGAAAUUGAACUCGCUGUGAAGAUGCAGUGUACCCGCGGCAAGACGGAAAGACCCCGUGAACCUUUACUAUAGCUUGACACUGAACAUUGAGCCUUGAUGUGUAGGAUAGGUGGGAGGCUUUGAAGUGUGGACGCCAGUCUGCAUGGAGCCGACCUUGAAAUACCACCCUUUAAUGUUUGAUGUUCUAACGUGGACCCGUAAUCCGGGUUGCGGACAGUGUCUGGUGGGUAGUUUGACUGGGGCGGUCUCCUCCUAAAGAGUAACGGAGGAGCACGAAGGUUGGCUAAUCCUGGUCGGACAUCAGGAGGUUAGUGCAAUGGCAUAAGCCAGCUUGACUGCGAGCGUGACGGCGCGAGCAGGUGCGAAAGCAGGUCAUAGUGAUCCGGUGGUUCUGAAUGGAAGGGCCAUCGCUCAACGGAUAAAAGGUACUCCGGGGAUAACAGGCUGAUACCGCCCAAGAGUUCAUAUCGACGGCGGUGUUUGGCACCUCGAUGUCGGCUCAUCACAUCCUGGGGCUGAAGUAGGUCCCAAGGGUAUGGCUGUUCGCCAUUUAAAGUGGUACGCGAGCUGGGUUUAGAACGUCGUGAGACAGUUCGGUCCCUAUCUGCCGUGGGCGCUGGAGAACUGAGGGGGGCUGCUCCUAGUACGAGAGGACCGGAGUGGACGCAUCACUGGUGUUCGGGUUGUCAUGCCAAUGGCACUGCCCGGUAGCUAAAUGCGGAAGAGAUAAGUGCUGAAAGCAUCUAAGCACGAAACUUGCCCCGA
rnacentral:rRNA from 1 species